rnacentral:rRNA from 1 species
AUUGAACGCUGGCGGCAGGCCUAACACAUGCAAGUCGAACGAGUGGCGGAUGGGUGAGUAAUGUCUGGGAAACUGCCUGAUGGAGGGGGAUAAAUACUGGAAACGGUAGCUACUACCGCAUACCAUCAGAUGUGCCCAGAUGGGAUUAGCUAGUUGGUGGGGUAACGGCUCACCAAGGCGACGAUCCCUAGCUGGUCUGAGAGGAUGACCAGCCAACCUGGAACGGAGACACGGUCCAGAAUCCUACGGGAGGCAGCAGUGGGGAAUAUUGCACAAUGGGCGAAAGCCUUAUGCAGCCAGGCCGCGUGUAUGAAGAGGGCCUUCGGGUUGUAUAGUACUUUCAGCGGGGAGGCGUUACCCGCACAAGAAGCAACGGCUAACUCCGUGCCAGCAGCCGCGGUAAUUC